AGCUGCCAGAACCAGAACCUGGUGGAUUCUGUACCCACUGAGCCAGCAGAGAAGCCUAAUGGACACAUGGAUGCCCCAUGAAAGCCAGCCAGCUGUGUGGGUUGUCUGAGAUUGAAAGCAACUCUGUGCCAAGGGCUUUGAUUCACACACUCAGAACGCAGAUGGUGCCACAGGAAAGCCAGUUGUCUGUGGAGGCAUCUGGACCACAAUAGCGCUGAAGAUCAGUAAGUGAAAACUUCUGGGACCAAGCUGGAGAAACCCACUUAGCUUCUCUCUGCAAAGAUGAGCUGAGAUGGUCUUUUCCCUCCCUUCUUUUUCUCCAAGUCAACACCAAGAAGGACACUGAAGGCUUAUUGAAGAGUUAUGAGAAACAGCAGCGAGGACCCAGAACAUUCCAUAUCUCCAGACUGUGUGCAUCUUUGUGCGUCUGGGUGGAAUGGGGACCAUUUUGGUGGACUCCGCUGGCUUUUAUUUACAUUCUGAAUUCCCUUCAGAGUAGUUUUCUUGGGGGCAGUCAAUUUAAAAUGUAAAACAAAAGUGGAAAAGAUGAAGUGGAGCUGGUUCUUCUGAGGGCUCUUCCCCUUCUGGACCAGGCAAAGCUGUGACCCAUUCAUUCCCUGGGGGUGUCCAGGCCUGGAGGGACUCUGUCCCAUUCAGUCCCUGGAAGCUGCUUAGCCAGGCUGCCAGGCUCUCUGCCUUCCCUCCCCCAUGACUGACAUUGGUCCAGAAUGUCCAUUAUCUUUGUGAACAAGGUUUGCUGUUCAUUAAAAAUUGCCUUUCUUGUGAAC
ensembl:lncRNA